UCGAGAAUAUUCGACAAUGGGCGAAAGCCUGAUCGAGCGACGCCGCGUGCUUGAAGAAGCCCUUCGGGGUGUAAAGAGCUUUUCUCAGGGAGGAAGUUAUUGACAGUACCUGAGGAAUAAGGAGCUGCUAAUCACGUGCCAGCAGCCGCGGUAAUACGUGAGCUCCAAGCGUUAUCCGGAUUUAUUGGGCGUAAAGCGUUCGUAGGUGUUCUGUUGCAUCUUUCGUUAAAUAUUCAAGGCUUAACUUUGAAGGUGCGGAAGAGAUGGGCAGAAUUGAGGGCACUAGGGGCUGAUAGAACGGUCGGUGUAGGGGUGAAAUCCGUUGAUAUCGACCGGAAUACCAAAAGCGAAGGCAUUCAGCUGGGGUGACCCUGACACUGAGGAACGAAAGCGUGGGGAGCAAAAAGG
rnacentral:rRNA from 1 species